AACGAACGCUGGCGGCAGGCUUAGCACAUGCAAGUCGAGCGCCCCGCAAGGGGAGCGGCAGACGGGUGAGUAACGCGUGGGAAUCUACCCAUCUCUACGGAAUAACGCAUGGAAACGUGUGCUAAUACCGUAUACGUCCUUCGGGAGAAAGAUUUAUCGGAGAUGGAUGAGCCCGCGUUGGAUUAGCUAGUUGGUGGGGUAAAGGCCUACCAAGGCGACGAUCCAUAGCUGGUCUGAGAGGAUGAUCAGCCACACUGGGACUGAGACACGGCCCAGACUCAUACGGGAGGCAGCAGUGGGGAAUAUUGGACAAUGGCCGCAAGCCUGAUCCAGCCAUGCCGCGUGAGUGAUGAAGGCCCUAGGGUUGUAAAGCUCUUUCACCGGUGAAGAUAAUGACGGUAACCGGAGAAGAAGCCCCGGCUAACUUCGUGCCAGCCGCCGCGGUAAGAC
rnacentral:rRNA from 1 species